rnacentral:rRNA from 1 species
GAUGAACGCUGGCGGCGUGCCUAAUACAUGCAAGUCGAGCGAACGGACGAGAAGCUUGCUUCUCUGAUGUUAGCGGCGGACGGGUGAGUAACACGUGGAUAACCUACCUAUAAGACUGGGAUAACUUCGGGAAACCGGAGCUAAUACCGGAUGAUAUUUUGAACUGCAUGGUUCAAAAGUGAAAGACGGUCUUGCUGUCACUUAUAGAUGGAUCCGCGCUGCAUUAGCUAGUUGGUAAGGUAACGGCUUACAAAGGCAACGAUGCAUAGCCGACCUGAGAGGGUGAGCGGCCACACUGGAACUGAGACACGGUCCAGACUCCUACGAGAGACAGCAUUAGGGAAUCUUCCGCAAUGGGCGAAAGCCUGACGGAGCAACACCGCGUGAGUGAUGAAGGUCUUCGGAUCGUAAAACUCUGUUAUUAGGGAAGAACAUAUGUGUAAGUAACUGUGCACAUCUUGACGGUACCUAAUCAGAAAGCCACGGCUAACUACGUG